rnacentral:rRNA from 1 species
AAAGAUUAAGCCAUGCAUGUGUAAGUAUGAGCACUCGUACUGUGAAACUGCGGAUGGCUCAUUAAAUCAGUCAUAAUCUACAUGGUGACCCUUUUUAAUUGGAUAACUGUAGAAAUCCUAGAGCUAAUACAUGCGAAAAGCCUCUCCGCAAGGGGGGGUGUACUUACUAGACUUUUAACCAGCCCCAGGCAACUGUAGCUUUGGUGAAUCAUGGUAAUUGAUCGAAUCGCACAGCCUUGAGCUUGGCGAUACACCAUUCGAAUCUCUGCCCUAUCAGCUAAAUCGCUGUGUAGUGGUCUGCGGUGGCAA